rnacentral:misc_RNA from 1 species
GAUGAAGAACGUAGCGAAAUGCGAUAAGUAGUGUGAAUUGCAGAAUUCAGUGAAUCAUCGAAUCUUUGAACGCACAUUGCGCCCCUUGGUAUUCCAUGGGGCAUGCCUGUUCGAGCGUCAUCUACACCCUCAAGCUCUGCUUGGUGUUGGGCGUCUGUCCCGCCUCUGCGCGCGGACUCGCCCCAAAUUCAUUGGCAGCGGUCCUUGCCUCCUCUCGCGCAGCACAUUGCGCUUCCCGAGGUGCGCGGCCCGCGUCCACGAAGCAACAUUACCGUCUUUGACCUCGGAUCAGGUAGGGAUACCCGCUGAACUUAAGCAUAUCAAUAAGCGGAGGA